UACGUAGGGUGCAAGCGUUGUCCGGAAUCAUUGGGCGUAAAGCGCGCGUAGGUGGCUUCGUAAGUCCGUUGUGAAAGUCAAAGGCUCAACCUUUGAAUGCCGAUGGAUACUGCGAAGCUAGAGUACGGAAGAGGCGAGUGGAAUUCCUGGUGUAGCGGUGAAAUGCGCAGAUAUCGGGAGGAACACCAGUAGCGAAGGCGGCUCGCUGGGCCACACCUGACGCUGAGACGCGAAAGCGUGGGGAGCAAACAGG
rnacentral:rRNA from 1 species